rnacentral:tRNA from 1 species
CCCUCAUGGUUUAAAUGGUAAAGAAUCUGCCUGCAAUGCAGGAGACCUGGGUUCAAUCCCUGGGUCAGGAA